rnacentral:lncRNA from 1 species
GUCAAAAUCUUUAUAGAUAAUUUUUUUUUCACAGAUCAUUGACCCAAUAAACUGGAGUAAUUACAUUCAUUGGAGUCUAUUAGAUGCCAGACAUGUGUGGUAAUGACUCAAUUCAGCUCUCAAAGUGAAGGCACAAAUGGUCAGUCGACUUGUAAAGAUCAAUUAUAUGGUGGGCUGAAGCAAACAUGUCAAAUUACCAUCAGCUAACUGUGUAUCUGGAACAGAACAGUUAUCCACCUGUCAACUAAGAAAGGAUUAACAAGCAGAAGAUGAGGAGGAGGACAACGAUUUAGACAUUACAGAAGAGGAAAAUCAAUUUUCUUCCAUAAACAUCACAUUUCAAUUUUCAUCUUAAAUGAUUUGGCAUCCAGAAUUACUAAACUGUAAAACUUUAUACUGGCUUCAUACAUGUUAAAUCUCAAAAUGAAACCUUACUAGAAAUGGAAAUUAAAGGAAAUUUAUGCUGACCAGAAAUGAUGUUUAUAAGAAAUAUAAACCAAUAAUUUCAACACCCAAUCUAGCAAUAUGUGAUUUUUGUGUAGUUUCCAUUUUUUAAAAAAAGAUUAUGAGCUUCAAAAGUAUCUCAUAU